UGGUGAGUGGAAGCCGAGGGCCGCCGCGGUUGCAAGAACUGGGCUGUGGUGCACGCCGAAGCGAACCAUGGGCUAAUAGAGCGAAGGUAGUGCUUGGAGUUCGAAGGAAAGUUUGCCAGAGUUCACGUCUCGUGGGGAACUUCACUGUGUCGACGAUGGCCAGCCUCGUCGUCGAUUGUGUCGAUGGCCAGCCUCGUCGUUGAUUGAGCAUCGCGGCCAAGUCUGUUGUGACCGGGAUUCUUCAACACGUUCCACCUCGAGGUAUGGAUCCAAAUGCUAGCAGCAGCAUCUCUCAACUACUUCCGCGUGAUGCGAUGGUGCUGGGUACGUAGAUGUGCUUCCGCUCUCUGCUGCAUGCCGUUGUAGGCCAUCCUAUUGCCUCUCACGCCCUAAAACCGGGUCUCCGGCUAACCACCUAGCUUGCGGACAAACUCUCGCCGACGGAGGUUCACCAUGCCGCAUGGACAGCUUCGCCUUGCCUCCUAACCUUCGGUAAUGCCCCUUGGAUCGAUUCGACACCUUCUCUGCAUUGCUUAGCACCUAGUUACGCUUGGAAUCAAGCCCUGGCAUGAUAAUUGGGUGCUCCGCGGUCAUGGCGCCGCCGUGGGUAGGGCCGGCGUGCUGCCGUAUUCCGGCUGGGAGGAAGAAAACUGGCAGCCAUUGGAUUGGAAGUUGACGGUUAGGAUGGGUUAUGGGAAGGAUGUACCGUGGACCGUUGAUCGCGGAAUGGACGUAUCGGAUUAGAUUCACAUAUACCCGUUCGACUCAUUAAAUCCAGGGCGUAGAUCUUGGAUCCUAGGGCUCGGGUUGCGUACCGAUUUGUGCGCGGCCAGAUUUAAUCGUGACCUUUGGUUUGGAUCGGACGGCUCUGAAUCAACGAUACCCCUUCGCCCUGGCUUUCUUUCUAAAGAGACCCCGGAAAACUUGCUAUUCAACCCGCGGUCUAUCGCCUGGGUUCUCUGUGUCUUGGUGCACUUUGCGCCAGGGCCCCUGCACUUCCUAAUAUUAGUGGGCCCAGUCCAGAGUAUUAUAAAACAGAGAAAAUAAUUUAUAAAUGGGUUUUUAAUAGAUAAAUAAAUGCUAGAACUUGUUUAAAUCAUAGAAAAUCCAUUUUUAGUCCAAAUUAAUCCAUUCCACUUUCUAAAAUUUUGUAAUUUUAUUAUCUACCACCUAGAGCCUCUGUUUUGUCAUGAAAACAAUUAGAAAUUUAAUCUCUCACUUAAUCCAUUCUAAGCACAUAGAAUCUUUGGAAAUCCAUAACUUAAAAUCUAUAACUCCGAAAUUAAUGAUUCCUGUUCCUAUGAUCUUAUUUUAAUAUGUAUAUUAUUAAUGUGUAUUUUGUUCUUAUGUGUGGUGUAAUGUUAAUUUUGCCUAUACCAUGUUUGUUUGAAUUGCUACGACUAGCAGUGAGGUCACGAGUCACCUGAAGAUCAUCCUGGUACCUGGAAUCUCAAGUCCCAGGCAAGUUGUGCCCUUGAUCACUUCUUUUACCCACUCAUGUUCUAAUUAAUCAUAAUGAUCUGCAUAGGUUAAUUUGAUGGGACCUAAUAGGUUACCCUAGAUUGUCUAUCUUUAUACCUUGUUUACCACUGAACUUUUUGGGUAGUACUUGCUAGUGCUUUAUGUGGUUUUGGGUAUGAAGAUACAUUAUUCAUGAUCACACUUUUAUUAUCAGUUUAUUAUUACUGUUCAUGAUAAGAUCAUUAUGUUAAUUGGAACAUGGAGAACCACCCGGGAAAACAGUGCUACCACAAGGGAGGAAUGGGACCCCUUGGCUGAUUAAUUAGGAAAGCUAGUGGAAGACUACCUUACCCGAAAGGGGCAAGGGCAGUAGGGGAGUGGUCAUUGUAGGGAGGCCCUCGGGAGGAUUUUGCUGCAAUGGCGGUCCUGCAAGGGAUUCCUGCAUUGGAGCUUCCUAUAAACUGUAGCGGGUUUUCUGAAGCUAGUGGAACUUUGUAAAGGCAUCGUAGUGUUACCCUGCCUCGCCUCCUCGGUAGAGGUGUAUGGGAAGUCGCGAUCCCUUGGCAGAUGGGUAACAUGACUUGUGGGUAAAGAUGCGCAACCUCUGCAGAGUGUAAAACUGGUAUACUAGUCGUGCUCACGGUCAUGAGCAGCUCGGACCCUCACAUGAUUAAAUUAUGGAACUAAAUUCAAUUUGUCAUAUGCAUUGCAUCGCAGGUGAUGUUGUUACUACUUUUGUUCUACUACUUAAUUGGGGUAUUUACUUAUACUUAGUAAUUGCUAAUAAAAUUUUGACCAACUUUAAAAGCAAUGCUCAGCUUCAACCAUCCUCUUUGGUAAGCCUUACACUUCACGUGAGCUCCCACCUUUGGCGAGUUCAUGCACAUUAUUCCCCACAACUUGUUGAGCGAUGAACGUAUGUGAGCUCACUCUUGCUGUCUCACACCCCCACAGGUCAAAAACAGGUACCACAGGAUGAGGCGCAUGGAGGAUGCUGUGAUGAGUUCGUGAGAGGUCUAGGCCGUCAUCUCCCAGUCAACUUUGGGUUGCUGGACCGUUGUCUCCCUAUAAUGUAAUUAUUUAUUUUGUAUAGAAUUCCUGUUAUAUAUAAAGAUGUGACAUUCGAUCCUGUGCCAUUAUACAUCAUAUGUGUGAGACUUG
rnacentral:lncRNA from 1 species